rnacentral:rRNA from 1 species
UACGGGGGGGGGCAAGCGUUGUUCGGAAUUACUGGGCGUAAAGGGCUCGUAGGCGGCCAACUAAGUCAGACGUGAAAUCCCUCGGCUUAACCGGGGGAACUGCAUCUGAUACUGGAUGGCUUGAGUUCGGGGAGAGGGAUGCGGAAUUCCAGGUGUAGCGGUGAAAUGCGUAGAUAUCGGGAAGAACACCCGUGGCGAAGGCGGCUCUCUGGGACGGUACUGACGCUGAGACGCGAAAAGCGUGGGGAGCGAACAGG